CUUAACGGUAAAAUGGCCUUCGAUACUGGGUUUCUUGAGUCCGGAAGAGGUUGGUGGAAUUCGUGGUGUAGCGGUGAAAUGCAUAGAUAUCACGAAGAACACCGGUGGCGAAGGCGGCCAACUGGUCCGGUACUGACGCUGAGGCACGAGAGCGUGGGGAGCGAACAGGAUUAGAUACCCUGGUAGUCCACGCCGUAAACGAUGUAUGCUAGUUGUUGGCCCUUCGGGGUCAGUGACGCAGUUAACGCAGUAAGCAUACCACCUGGGGAGUACGUUCGCAAGAAUGAAACUCAAAGGAAUUGACGGGGGCCCGCACAAGCGGUGGAGCAUGUGGCUUAAUUCGAUGCAACGCGAAGAACCUUACCCAGGCUAAAUCACGGGCGACCGGCCGGGAAACCGGCCUUCCCUUCGGGGCGCC
rnacentral:rRNA from 1 species